UCCCUGAUAGCUCAGUUGGUAAAGAAUCUGCCUGCAACGCAGGAGACCCCAGUUCGAUCCCUGGGUCGGGAA
rnacentral:tRNA from 1 species